GAUGAACGCUGGCGGCGUGCCUAAUACAUGCAAGUCGAGCGAACGGACGAGAAGCUUGCUUCUCUGAUGUUAGCGGCGGACGGGUGAGUAACACGUUGAUAACCUACCUAUAAGACUGGGAUAACUUCGGGAAACCGGAGCUAAUACCGGAUGAUAUUUUGAACCGCAUGGUUCAAAAGUGAAAGACGGUCUUGCUGUCACUUAUAGAUGGAUCCGCGCUGCAUUAGCUAGUUGGUAAGGUAACGGCUUACCAAGGCAACGAUGCAUAGCCGACCUGAGAGGGUGAUCGGCCACACUGGAACUGAGACACGGUCCAGACUCCUACGGGAGGCAGCAGUAGGGAAUCUUCCGCAAUGGGCGAAAGCCUGACGGAGCAACGCCGCGUGAGUGAUGAAGGUCUUCGGAUCGUAAAACUCUGUUAUUAGGGAAGAACAUAUGUGUAAGUAACUGUGCACAUCUUGACGGUACCUAAUCAGAAAGCCACGGCUAACUACGUG
rnacentral:rRNA from 1 species